rnacentral:rRNA from 1 species
CGUACACUCCCGCGGGAGGCAGCAGUGGGGAAUUUUGGACAAUGGGCGAAAGCCUGAUCCAGCAAUGCCGCGUGUGUGAAGAAGGCCUUCGGGUUGUAAAGCACUUUUGUCCGGAAAGAAAUCCUUGGCUCUAAUACAGUCGGGGGAUGACGGUACCGGAAGAAUAAGCACCGGCUAACUACGUGCCAGCAGCCGCGGUAAUACGUAGGGUGCGAGCGUUAAUCGGAAUUACUGGGCGUAAAGCGUGCGCAGGCGGUUUGCUAAGACCGAUGUGAAAUCCCCGGGCUCAACCUGGGAACUGCAUUGGUGACUGGCAGGCUAGAGUAUGGCAGAGGGGGGUAGAAUUCCACGUGUAGCAGUGAAAUGCGUAGAGAUGUGGAGGAAUACCGAUGGCGAAGGCAGCCCCCUGGGCCAAUACUGACGCUCAUGCACGAAAGCGUGGGGAGCAAACAGGAUUAGAAACCCGUGUAGUCCAUGA